rnacentral:snRNA from 14 species
CGUUUUGCACAGUGGCAGUAUCGCAGCCAAUGAAGUUUAUCAAAGGCACAAUUAUUGCUAAUUGAAAACUUUUCCAGAGCCCAAGGGCCAUAACUUCUAAAUGCAGUGCUUGUGUUUGACUAUAUAUUUCUUUUUUUAAAAGGAGGUGCUAUAAAUGACAUUUUGAAGGACAGUUAUGAAAAUCUAAAUACAGA